rnacentral:sRNA from 2 species
CGUGUGGGUAAACAAUUGUCAAUUGCUAUUCAAAGGUAAUACGAAAUUCUUUGGAACAGCUUGCUAUACGCUAAGCUUUAUUAUUCCCGAUGGAUACUGUCAUGCCCAACAAUAUAUUACUAUGUGGAGGGCUUCGUCAACAUGUUCCAGGCUUUUAGUGACCUGAUUCCAAUGUGCCGUGCAUGCCCACAUUUUUUGUGGCUAUCGCUGUCACGCUCCACGAUGGGUCUCCGAGCCCAGAGACCGUUUUUUAGGCAACGUGAGAUGGGAAAAAGCAAAUAUGCGACUAGGAAGAACAACUAAAACAAUACAAGCAAAACCUGCGACAGGCAUGGCGAGAAAAAGCAUCCCCGCAUGGGAUGCGUCUUGGAUUACGAAGCCCAGGUCGCUUUGAUAUUAAGUAUCAUCAUCUCUGAGGCCGGAUUAGUUGGGAUGGCAGUGGGUUUCGCAACUACACUCGGUUGCGCAUAUGUGAAGAGCCUUUCAAGUUAGCCGCCCUCUCUGAUUUUCAUCCCGGAUAUUGCCUCACUGUUAUUGGGUCAAGAAUGAAUGACAUAUCAAUGCUGUUCAUGGGCAUUGUUCUGGAAGAUUUCUUGAACAUCAAUGCAAAACUUAUGACAGACGACAAUUCCGAGGAAUCAUGCACCUUGCCGUGUCAUCUCGUAAAGGGGGUCGCCGAAUUUGGGAUUUGGAAAUGAUCGACCAACUCUCAUGCGACGGAUUUCCAUAGUCGUGGCUAGUACUUUGACGAUGUCAGAUAAUGCAAC